AGAUCCCGCCUGGGUAACUGCUAGCCACAGGCCCAGUAUUGAGUGUUGCAGCGGCUGUAUAAGACCGGUGGUCGAAGUCAGUCGUUGAAGCACUGGACUUUCUGGAGCGAGGCAGGCAGAAAGGUAGUGAGGAUGAAUGGACUGUGGGUGGUGUGCGCGGCUGUGAAGGGGAAUAGCUCCGAAAUUUGGUACCUGUUGGCCCCAAUCAGAUGGUUACAGUGCCCAAGGUUUGUGCAUGCCCCAAGGCAAUACUUCACGACGCGUCAUUGGCGAGCUUCGUGGAGAGCCCCGGAGUCGGCGCCCC
rnacentral:ncRNA from 1 species